GGCUGACCUGAGUGCAGUGGUGUUUACAACUAACUGAUCACAGUCAGUUACAGAUUUAUUUGUUCUUUCUCCACUCCCACUGCUUCACUUGACUAGCCUUUA
rnacentral:Y_RNA from 1 species